UGGCACUGACGAAUUUGGGUUCUGAUGCACGGUUUUCGAGAAAAAGAGUUUUAUUGGAUCUAUAUGUAUAGGUAUGGUUUUAGGAGAUUGGAGAGGGUUGGUUUUGUCGCUAAUCGACGACCGAAUCGGACAAAAUGAAAUGCUAGAUUCGAUGCCCUAGUCGUGCUGAAUGCGCUGGCGCGAUCCGAUCAAAAAUCCGAUGAAUAGAACUUCGAAAAACGUGAAAAGUUUGCUGAGGGGUCGAAAUCGGCAAAACGAAAAAUCUGAGAAAAGGCUAAUAUUUUAUGCGCCGUUUUGUGCGAAUUCGAACGUCGAGGGACUUGUGU
rnacentral:lncRNA from 1 species